rnacentral:rRNA from 1 species
UACAGAGGUCCCGAGCGUUGUUCGGAUUCACUGGGCGUAAAGGGUGCGUAGGUGGUCGGGUAAGUCUGAGGUGAAAUCUCCGAGCCCAACUCGGAAACUGCCUUGGAUACUAUUCGGCUAGAGGGUUGGAGGGGGGACUGGAAUUCUCGGUGUAGCAGUGAAAUGCGUAGAUAUCGAGAGGAACACUAAGGGCGAAGGCAAGACUCUGGACAAGUGCUGACGCUCAUGCACGAAGGCUAGGGUAGCGAACGGG